UUGAUUCUUUUGCAGCAAUUAAACCCAUAUUUUGAAAAACAAACAAUUUAUAUUGCUAAAAAUGAAACAUCCAGCAAUCUAUUGUUUUAAGAAAUGGUCAUAGUAAUGAAAAAUAAGCUUUCUUCUAUGAGUUCUUCUACGAAAAUUGUAACAAUGUAACAGAUUAGAGAAAGAAUUGGGCAGCAUUUCUACUGUAUUUUGGACAGAACUUCCUUUGAUCUUUACACAGCAAAACAUCAAAUAUUGACAGCCAAACAAAAAAAUUUUGUAUAGCAUAACACAUCAAAACAACACACACACACACAUGAGCUUGGACACUCAUCCUCUUCCACCUCCUCAUGAUCCUCCUCCGCUUGCUUAUCAUGUUCCAUUGCCUAGCACACCAAAACAACACACACACACACAUGAGCUUGGACACACAUUUAUUUGACUUUUGGAUAGCAAAAACAGCACAUACAUGAGCUUGCACAAAUAUAUAUUUGACUUUUCGAUAGCAAAAACAGCACCUAGGUGAGCUUGCACAAACAUAUAUUUGACAUUUGUAUACCAAAAAGAGCACACACAUGAGCUUGCACGAACAUAUAUUCGACAUUUAGGUACCAAAAACAGCACAUAUGAGCUUGGGCACACAUAAAUUUGACUCUCAAAAAGAAAAACAGCACUUACACGAGCUUGCACAAAUAUAUAUUUUGCACCUACAUACCUGGGAAGAUGUAGCCUCCCUCUCAUAGUAGUUUGCGGAGCCGGAGGCAACAGCGAUUCCGGCACGCACCCCAGCGCCGGUGGGGUCAGGGAAACGUCAUAGCAGAGGUUCCUUUUUUACCCUAUACAACAACUCAGCGAUUGGGAAAUUGCUGGAAUCAUUUGCCGGCUUCCUUGGCAGCCGCAUAGUAGCUACUGCAUUGCCCUUCCCAUUCCCCUUCUGCAUCCCCGAGACCGGCAACUUGCUCUUCAUAAUGGAGCCCAACGUCCUUGUUUCUCCUUCUUCCCACCCGCCUUCCCCUUUUCUUUGUCCAUUGUCUGCAUACAUCAGCAAACAACAAACGGUCAAUCAUCAACAACAGUAAACUAAUUAGACAUGGAGUCUAUGUAAUUUUCCAGCAAGUAGAUUAUUUUUCAAGCUGCUAUGCUACAACAAGUAGAUCAUCAACUAGGUCAUCAACAACAGAAAACUAAUUACACAUGGAAUCAAUGAAAAUUUUGAUCUAUCCAUCCAUUCUGCCCUACAACUCCAUCCAUCCAUGAUCCAUCCAUCCGUCGCCGCUACAUCUACCCGUACAGGCUAUAAUACAUCCAUCCAUCUAGCCCUACGUAGAUGUGGGAGUUCGGCCCUACAUCCAUCCAUCCAUCUACCUGUCUGUAUACAUCUACC
rnacentral:lncRNA from 1 species